AUGUGAAGACACAGUGAGGGGACACAAUCUGUGAUUCAGAGAGAGGGCCUUCACCACGUACUCGACCUACUGAUGCCUUGAUCUUGGACUUCUCAGCUUCCAGAACCUUUAGGAGAAAUAGCGGACUCAGCCAGGGUCACCUGCUGCAUAAGUGGUGAAGCCAGAAUUCAACCCUGUCUUCCUCGCUCCAGGUGCUAAGCCCUUAUCAUUAUGGCCUGCUGUCUCUCUAACAGGGCUUUGAGACCUCAAAUUUAAAAGGGCAAUCCUGGAGGCUACUUCUUGAAGAUUAGGUUAUCACAAGAUGCAGAAGGAGGCUGGAUUCCUGAAUCACUGCUUGGAGGAGAGCCAUCUGCCCUGGAAAAUGAGUCAUAAAAUACGAGAAUGCAAUCCCAGAACAUCAUGCCACCACUACUUAGCAAAAGCCCAUUUAACCUGUAUGUGAAUAAGGCCAGUCCUCAGAGAAGAGUGGAGCCAGUGUCAAAUGAUGUCAAGUCCUAGAAAUUGGAGUCACUGGAUGGAGUUACACCUGAGAUCAGCACAACCCAGUGCUUCCCACUCGAGUGAAUCAAAACUCUCUUUUCAGUGCUUCAGUGAUUCUGAAAGCUGUUAUUCCCAUGAGAAAGUGUUCUGACUAAAGCAGAAAUACAACA